rnacentral:rRNA from 1 species
AUUGAGACCUGUAUGAACGGAAUCACGAGGGCUUAACUGUCUCCUCCCUCCAGUCAAUGAAAUUGAUCUCCCCGUGCAAAAGCGGGGAUUCCCACAUAAGACGAGAAGACCCUGUGGAGCUUUAGACACCCCAGACAAACCAAGCAAAAUUAGCCUAAACCACCAGGCUAAGACCCGACUUAGUCCCUGCCUGGAUAUC